rnacentral:rRNA from 1 species
UGCCAGCCGCCGCGGUAAUACGGAGGGGGUUAGCGUUGUUCGGAAUUACUGGGCAUAAAGCGCGCGUAGGCGGCUCGAUAAGUCGGAGGUGAAAGCCCGCAGCUCAACUGCGGAACUGCCCCCGAUACUGUCGAGCUUGAGUCCAGGAGGGGUGGCUGGAACUCAGGUGUAGCGGUGAAAUGCGUAGAGAUCUGAAGGAAUACCAGUGGCGAAGGCGGCCCCCUGGAUUGACACUGACGCUGAGGUGCGAAAGCGUGGGGAGCAAACAGGAUUAGAUA